GGAUUUGAGGGCAAUCUGGCUAUGACAUCUGUGACCCUUUCACUGCCAGGGUUGAUUCAGCUGAUCUGGCUGGGUAGGCAGUGUCCCUUUCCUCUCUCCUCCAUGUGCAUCCCUCCUGAAGCUACAUGCUUGGUCAAAGAGGAUGAACAUUUCUGAUAGAGGAGGACUGCUCUUUGGUCAAGAGUAUAAGAGUUAGCUGGGUUCCCUGUUAGAACCUCUGAACAAGCUUUCAAGAAACCCAAUGUCAUAAAGCAAGUAGUAAUAAGACUAAAAACCAUGACGAUGGCCAGACCAUGGUGGCUCAGUGAUCAU
rnacentral:snRNA from 1 species